GACGAACGCUGGCGGCGUGCUUAACACAUGCAAGUCGAACGGAAAGGCCCUGCUUUUGUGGGGUGCUCGAGUAGCGAACGGGUGAGUAACACGUGAGUAACCUGCCCUUGACUUUGGGAUAACUUCAGGAAACUGGGGCUAAUACCGGAUAGGAGCUCCUGCUGCAUGGUGGGGGUUGGAAAGUUUCGGCGGUUGGGGAUGGACUCGCGGCUUAUCAGCUUGUUGGUGGGGUAGUGGCUUACCAAGGCUUUGACGGGUAGCCGGCCUGAGAGGGUGACCGGCCACAUUGGGACUGAGAUACGGCCCAGACUCCUACGGGAGGCAGCAGUGGGAAUAUUGCACAAUGGGCGGAAGCCUGAUGCAGCAACGCCGCGUGCGGGAUGACGGCCUUCGGGUUGUAAACCGCUUUCGCCUGUGACGAAGCGUGAGUGACGGUAAUGGGUAAAGAAGCACCGGCUAACUACGUG
rnacentral:rRNA from 1 species